rnacentral:rRNA from 1 species
AUUGAACGCUAGCGGGAUGCUUUACACAUGCAAGUCGAACGGAGUGGCGGACGGGUGAGUAAUAUAUCAGAACGUGCCUAGUAGCGGGGGAUAACUACUCGAAAGCGUGGCUACUACCGCAUAAUAUGGGAGCGGCCGAUAUCGGAUUAGCUAGUUGGUGUGGUAAAGGCACACAAAGGCAACGAUCCGUAGCUGGUUUGAGAGGCUGACCAGCCACACUGGGACUGAGACACGGCCCAGACUCCUACGGGAGGCAGCAGUGGGGAAUGUUGGACAAUGGGGGAAACCCUGAUCCAGCCAUCCCGCGUGUAUGAUGAAGGCCUUCGGGUUGUAAAGUACUGUUGGCAGAGAAGCGGUAUCUGCAGAAUAAGCACCGGCUAACUACGUGCCAGCAGCCGCGGUAAUUC